UGGGGAAUUUUGGACAAUGGGCGAAAGCCUGAUCCAGCAAUGCCGCGUGUGUGAAGAAGGCCUUCGGGUUGUAAAGCACUUUUGUCCGGAAAGAAAUCCUUGGCUCUAAUACAGUCGGGGGGAUGACGGUACCGGAAGAAUAAGCACCGGCUAACUACGUGCCAGCAGCCGCGGUAAUACGUAGGGUGCAAGCGUUAAUCGGAAUUACUGGGCGUAAAGCGUGCGCAGGCGGUUUGCUAAGACCGAUGUGAAAUCCCCGGGCUCAACCUGGGAACUGCAUUGGUGACUGGCAGGCUAGAGUAUGGCAGAGGGGGGUAGAAUUCCACGUGUAGCAGUGAAAUGCGUAGAGAUGUGGAGGAAUACCGAUGGCGAAGGCAGCCCCCUGGGCCAAUACUGACGCUCAUGCACGAAAGCGUGGGGAGCAAAACAGGAUUAGAUACCCUGGUAGUCCACGCCCUAAACGAUGUCAACUAGUUGUUGGGGAUUCAUUUCCUUAGUAACGUAGCUAACGCGUGAAGUUGACCGCCUGGGGAGUACGGUCGCAAGAUUAAAACUCAAAGGAAUUGACGGGGUCAUAGCUGUUUCCU
rnacentral:rRNA from 1 species